rnacentral:rRNA from 1 species
GACGAACGCUGGCGGCGUGCUUAACACAUGCAAGUCGAACGGUGAACCUCUUCGGAGGGUAUCAGUGGCGAACGGGUGAGUAACACGUGGGCAACCUGCCCCCGGCUCUGGGAUAACUCCAAGAAAUUGGGGCUAAUACCGGAUGUUCACCGCUUCCCGCAUGGGUGGUGGUGGAAAGGGUUUCCGGCUGGGGAUGGGCCCGCGGCCUAUCAGCUUGUUGGUGGGGUAGUGGCCUACCAAGGCGACGACGGGUAGCCGGCCUGAGAGGGUGACCGGCCACACUGGGACUGAGACACGGCCCAGACUCCUACGGGAGGCAGCAGUGGGGAAUAUUGCGCAAUGGGCGGAAGCCUGACGCAGCGACGCCGCGUGGGGGAUGACGGCCUUCGGGUUGUAAACCUCUUUCAGCAGGGACGAAGCGCAAGUGACGGUACCUGCAGAAGAAGCACCGGCCAACUACGUG